GGAGGCUUCGCCUAGUCAGGUCUAUGGCGCCGCACUGCUAAUGCGGUUUGGGUCUUAAGCCCAUCCGGGGUUCAAAUCCCCGAGCCUCCGCCA
rnacentral:tRNA from 2 species